AGUUAAUAUUCUCACGUCAGACGGUUUAGAUCGACUUUCGCGCGAUUCGCAAGCAGCAACAUAAAUGUACAUUCGGUCGUUGGCUAGCAGCUUGCAUGCUCGUUCGGUUGCUUGCGCUUAUAAGCUAUGUACGCUAGUUAGUUUGCGCACUUAACAACUUCUUUUACUCAGAAGGCUAUUUACUGCUGCUAAAGCGCAUUGUUGUUGCUGCAAAUGGCUAAAUAGUUUUGUAUUUUGCUUGUGUCGAUAAAGUUAAAAUUCAUUGCUUCCGUUUAGGCCCGUUUGAGUUUCAAACAGGAUGCCAUAAACCAUCAUUAAAAGCUACGAAAAUUAUAAAAAAAAAUUGUUGUAAGAAACUUUUGACCAAAAUAACUGUUAACAAAAAACUUAUAGUGUUAAUUAAGAGACGCGUAUAAUGCCGAAAAACUUUAACACAAAAGUGAAACAGUUCAAAGUUGACAGAAAAUUUCAUAUUAACUAAAAAAUAUAAAAAUUGUGUUAAAUAUUUUAUGUAAAAAAAAAAAUAAUUAAAUUUUAUAACUGAAAACGGCUUUGAAAACCAAACAAAUGAACAAAAUGUGCUGAUAAAAGCUCAAAAUAAGAUAAUAAUCAACAUUUAUUGUUGCUCUUGUUGUUUUAGUGUUUAUACACAAAGUAACUUGCAUACCAAAACGUCGUUACAACACACACAGUUUAUUUAAUAUAAUAAUUAAUUUUUGUUUAAAUACAAAUCGUUUUGCAACUUGCUCCAAGCAAGUCUUCACUGCACCAAAGUAAUAAAUUGAAAAAAUCACAACGCCAUGGGUUUGUCAGAAAAUCAGGCCAAUAGCUAUAUGCCUACUAGCACAGGAGCUGGUGGUCAAGUGGUCGUUGUCGAGUGCCCAAAUCAUCGCAUUUCCAACAAAAAGCUGCAUAUUUUGAAGAAGAUCAAGAAACGUUUCGGUUUAGUUCGUCGCUCACCAUCCUCCUGCGCCGGUCCCAACAACUUGCCACCACUCCAGUUUCACACCGUACAUGGCGACAACAUACGGAUAUCACGGGACGGCACUUUGGCACGUCGUUUCGAAAGCUUCUGCCGCGCGAUCACCUUCUCAGCACGCCCGGUGCGCAUCAACGAGCGCAUAUGUGUACGCUUCUCAGAAAUUUCAAACAAUUGGAAUGGCGGCAUACGUUUCGGUUUCACCAGCAACGAUCCGGCAACGCUGGAGGGUGCGCUGCCCAAGUACGCGUGUCCCGACCUAACGAAUCGUCCCGGUUUCUGGGCGAAAGCGCUGCACGAACAGUAUUGCGAAAAGGAUAACAUACUUUAUUACUACGUCAAUUCGGCUGGUGAUGUGAUCUAUGGCAUCAACAACGUGGAGAAGGGUGUCAUAUUGAGCGGCAUCGAUACGCGUGGUUUACUCUGGACCUUGGUUGACAUCUAUGGCAAUUGCACUGCUAUUGAGUUCUUAGAUGCGCGCGUCUAUAUGUAUCAACAGAGUGGCAAUGGACUCGUGGCCGCCGGUGUAGCAUUACCUGCCGGCAAUAGUGGUGUAAUUGGUGUUGGUGGCACAUUGCCCGGUCCACAAAUACCACUGAAUCCACAUCACCCGCAUCAACAAUCGCGUCGCUCAUUGCCAGCUGUCGAGCAGGAUUUGGAUCGUCAUGUGUUGCCUUCAAUGCAAUCGCUGAAUAUUUCUAUGGAACAAAUGCCGUUUGCACAAGAUAUGGCCAAUGGUCUGCCACCGUUGCGCUACAAUGCCAACGGCCGCCUCAUACCGGUGCCAUUUCACAUCACCAAAGGCCGCAAUGUGCGUCUCUCCAUGGAUCGGUUCAUAGCGUCACGCACAGAAAAUGACUUCUGCCAGGGUUAUGUGUUCACAGCGCGUCCCAUACGCAUCGGCGAGAAGGUGAUUGUACAAAUACUGAAAACCGAACAAAUGUACUUGGGCGCAUUGGCGCUGGGCCUUACCUCCUGCAACCCGGCGGCACUGCAACCCUCCGACCUACCCAACGAUUCUGAUUUUCUGCUCGAUCGCCCCGAAUAUUGGGUGGUGAGCAAGGAUAUCGCCUCACAACCACAACGCGGUGACGAGAUCGCCUUCUUUGUCGCGCCCAAUGGUGAGGUAACCAUAAGCAAAAACAAUGGCCCGGCCGUUGUUGUCAUGCAUGUCGAUCAAUCCCUACAGCUGUGGGCUUUCCUCGAUGUUUACGGCUCCACACAGUCGGUGCGCAUGUUCCGCCAACAGCUACCUAAUAUGGUUAACUAUCCACAACAACCGCUCUCAGCCGCACCGUCAACACAACGCCUGCCGCAACACGGCAACAUGUCAAUUGCCGAAUCGAUGAAUAGUCUGAAUAGCCAAAUGUCUGAAUCGCGCAAAAUGUUGCACAACUCUGCGCUCACUGUGGCAUCACACAACACCAUGAACAGCUCUGCGGCGACACUAGCCUCCAUGACGGCCAAUGUGGCGGCAGCGGCGCAAACUCAUUGUAAUGUACCUGCAGCGACGGUGUCGACGGUCACGCCCGUCACCAAAACCAAUGGCAAUACCACGGCGACGGCGACCGGUCACAUGAUCAGUAUGCCAUCAAGUGGGGAUCUCAUACAGAUUCAGCCCAACGGUGGCGGUACUGUGUUGGUUGUGAAUUUACCGCCUGCAAACUCGACACACGAACUGAAUAGUGUGAGUGGUGGCGGUAAUGGUGUGACCGCAACAAGGCAGCCAACAUCGGGUGUACUGGCUGGCGCUUGUUCGUCAACAAUGACAAAUAAUCAGUACAUUGAGCCUGUGUCCUCGUUGAACGGUUGCAAUUCCACUCAGGAGAUGAAUAAAUGGAAAGACACCGUGGAUCACAGUGGCAAUAGCAGCGCUGGCGCUGAAUGCACGAUCUGCUAUGAAAAUCAAAUCGACUCAGUGCUUUAUAUGUGCGGACACAUGUGCAUGUGUUACGACUGCGCUAUCGAGCAGUGGCGUGGUGUUGGUGGCGGUCAGUGUCCACUGUGUAGAGCCGUCAUACGUGAUGUUAUACGCACAUAUACCACAUGAACGGAACAAUGAGGCACAAUAAAAUAAUAAUACAAAAUUUAAACUCAAAACAGGUGAAAUGGAAUGCAACUAUCUACGCUAAUGCCAAAAGUAGAUUCGAUUUUUUUAAAUUUACAAUUUCGCGUUACAAAAAAGCGAUAGAUUAUUACAAUAAUAUUUAAAACAAUGAGAACGUGAGAGAGUAAGAUGAAAACGUAAUUCCUACUUUAGCUGAAAUUGCCUCCUAACUAAGUAUAUAAUACGGGUAUACCAAAAAGGAAGCAAAGAAAUGUGAACAAAGGCUAUUAGGCAACAGUAAAACCGUCACGUGCUUAAAUUAAGCAUAAAAAUUGUUACUCGCAGUCAAAGACAAAUGAGAUGAAUGAAUGAUAAUCGUUAUGUGACCGAAUAACUAAACAACUCGCAAUUUUACACUACAUACACAGAUAAUUAAUAAAAAAUUGCAAGAAAAACUAAAAACUAAAACAACAAAAUUGUCCAAAAAUAUAAGAGAACACUGCACUUAUGAUUAAAAAUAAACUAAAUUGUAAUUAAAACGUAUUAUAUUAUUAGCAACUUUAAAAGGCAGACUAGACUACUUUAAGAAAAAAGCUGCAAAGUAAAAAAUAAUAAUUAACUAAUAUAAAAGCAAAUGAAAAACAACAAACGCAUUUACUCUAAAGCAGAGCAGACACGUGUAGAUUUUGUAUUUAGUGCCAGCAGUUAGGAUUUAGAUAUAAUGCUACGUCAAACAAAAACCAAAUGCAGAGUAGUUUAAAACUCCGCGAAGCAUUAAAACUGAACGCUGCAUUAUGCAAAUUGUAAGUUUAAAUUAGACUAAAAAGAUAAAAUGCAAAACGCAAAUAGCAAAUAGCAAAAAAAAAAAAACAAAAAACAUAAGUAAAAAACAAUUGUAACAGAACUAUAUUCUAAAUUUGUGAUUUUAUAAAAGAAAAACUAAAAAUUAUUAUAAUAAUUUAAGCAGCGUUUAUUGGCGACGAAAUUGAAAUUAAAUAUAGUUAUAUAAUAUUGUAAUUAGUAAUAUUUAAUGCAGAAAUAAUUGCAAUUUUAUAGUGUUUUCAAAAUGUGAAGUCCAAAAAUGAUUUGUUACGUUUAAAAUUUACUUACUAUUAUGUGAUUAAUUAUAAGGCUGAUUCAAUGUCGAUAGUUUAGCUGGAAAUUGUGCGUUAAGAUGUUUCAUAUAAUUUUCUUAUUAUUUGCUUGUUUUGCUAAAAGCAUUUUGAAUUGUUUAUUCUUAUUGCCAAUCAAAAAUAAAUUUAAAUUGCGUUAAUAACCAAAUCAGCCUUUCCCUCUCUCAAUUAAUCACAUAAUAUUUUUAUUCAUAGUUACUAACUGUAUUGCACACGCUCUAUUUACCGUUAUUUCAGCAUUUUCGAAUAAACCGGUAAAAAUUCCUAAUUACCAGUCACAGUGCACUUCUCAAACGUUAUAUAAAAAACACAUAAAGGUCAAUUUUUUUGAAUGCAUGCUACAUUUUUUUUUUUAUAAGCAAAACUGCCAAAACUGCUAUUAUUUGUGUCGUGAAAAAUUGAGUACAGCUACUAUAGAUACAAUAAAAACUGCCUAAAAAAAUAAAACAAAAAAAACUACAUUAAAUUGUUAACAGCAUUAUGUAUUUUUUUCUUUACAAUGCUCGUGUAAUUUUGUUAAAGUAAAAUUUCAGAUUGUACGGGGUUGGAGCAGAAAAUGCUUUCCAUAUUAUUAGUGUACAUACAUACAUAUAUAAGCAGACUUCAACACGCGCUUUACCGUUUUCCACCAAAUGUAUAAAAAUCCAAUUUAUUUUUAGAUGAAAAUUUCCUAUAUUUUUGGAAAAUAAUUGCAUAAUGAAAAGAUGUAUUGCAAAAAUUAUUAUUUAUGUGUAUAAAGUGGCAACACUGUUAGUUUCUUUCUUAUAUUAUUUUAAAUACGGUAUAAUUUUUAUAUUUUAUUAAAUAAAAUCCUUUCAAUAAUUUAUUAAAACGGUGUACAAUAAAUAAGCUAUAAAUUCAAAAAAAAAGGAAGGCUUAUGAGCAUGUUAAGCAGUACCUCUACUUGUCAUUUGAUUUGUUAUCUUUUGUAUUGUAUUUUCCUCAAGUUUAUAAUGAACAAUUUACUGAGCAAGAUAGUUUUAGUUUCCUAUUUUAAGACUUGAAUAUUUUUUUAUACUUUUGAGAUAGUUAUACAAGCUUAUGUUUAGUAUUAAGUUAUUUUUUGUAUUAAUUUCUAGUCAACGAAUAUUAAAAAAUAAAUAUAAGAUUGUGUUUAAAGGCACGAAGGAAAAAUGAGAUUUAAGCUAUUUGAAAUAAAUGCAAAAAAGUUAAAUUGAUGAUUACUAAUGAAUGAAAUUACAUAAAAAUAAAAUAAUAAAUUCAAGUUUAUUCAAUAAAAGAUACCAAUAAUAUAAUAAAUGACGACAAGCAAACUAUUUUAAUGUCAGUUUUAAUUAAAAUACAAAAUGCUACCGAUUUAAAAGUUUUUAAGCUUUUUAAAUAGCAAUUGUAAUAUGGAUAAUAAUAAAGGAUAUAUAAAAAAAUAUAUAUAUCAAAAGUGAAUUUUAGCUACAUAAUAUCAUAUAUAAAAUAAAACAAAAACUUGAAUUUGGAAAACAACAAUACGAAAAAGAAUUUGAUACGCCAAAUGCUCAAUAAAAUGUAUAAUUAAUGAAGCAAAUAGGUAUAUGUUAAAGCAGAAUUAAAAGUGUGUUUUAUUGAAAACCUGAUGUUAACAAAAUAUUUUUUAAUGCCAACUGUGCGACUACACUUCCGCCAAAUAAUUGUACGAUUCACCAAUUACAUCGUUGAAAUAUAUAUAUGUAUAUAUUUUUCUUUUAUUUAAAGUAAUGCAUGUUGAUACACAAUGAAAUACAUGUAAAGUUUUGAAACACAGUUGUAUACAUGCAUAGCGACAAACAAAAUAUGUAUUUAUGAACUAUACAAACCUAUUUAAACAUUAUAAAUUUACUACGCCUAUCCAUACAUAGCUCAAGACGUUAUUUAGAGGUUAGAGGUAGAGGUUAGAAUUCGACUUAUUUUUUUAAUCAUGUGUUAUUUUCGAAAUGAUAUAAAUUGCAUAUAUUUUAUGUUUAAAUUAAAAUGUCACGUAUUUACUUUAAAUAAAAAACUAAAAUGCACUGACUAGGUCUUAGAUUGAGCCACAUGGCCCACACUAUGGAAUUCAUUGUAUGUUGGAUUCGUAACUGUAAAUUAUAUUAUAUUAUAAAGUUAUAAAUCAGAAGACAUUUGUUUAUUAUUAAUAUAAAGACCGUGAAUGAUAAUGAUUAAAUUUAAAUGAAUAUUAAAAUAUAAAUAUCAUGAUUGUAAUGGUUUUGCAUGAUAAAAUAAGCCAAAACUGAUAAUGAAAAGAGAAUUGAUAUCGAUUUGCUAAAUAUUCGUUUCGAAUAAAGCAAGGCAAAUAAAGUUUAAAAAUACCAAAAAAUAAAAUUAAUUCUUGUGUGUUAUGUUUGUUAUCCUAAAAGAUAUUCUCGAAUCAAUGCCGCAUUGCAUAAAAAGCGUUUAAAUACAAAAAAUAUAUGCGUUAAAGUUGGAAAUAGAUUAUAGAGAGAAUACCUCCCUAAAAGAAGCCGCACUUCAUUGUAGUACACCUGCUGCUAUCUUAAUAGCUGCUACUUCUGCUUGAAAGACACUACAGUGUCAGACAAAUAGACACAAGAGUUAAUUGAGAGCUCCCGACAGAAGACUCCCCCUCCAACCUUCCCCUCGAUCUUUAAUCCAUACGUGAAAAAGCUCACUCCGCCUCUUUUCCAGCGACUCGGCCUCACCCACAGAUCCCCCGGAGGUAUGUGCGCGGAGAAGAUGCCGCUAGGAGUGGGCUCCACAGCGCAGUGGUCCAGUUUAUCAGGGAUGCAAUCGAAGUGCGAGAGGACUUCGGUAUGUCCCAUUAUGGAACUCCUAAUGGGUCCGGCUUUCCGGAGUCUGAUAGCAACCUUCGCAGCAUUGCAUUUGCCGGUUAUGCCCACGGACGCUAUUGUAGAAUGGCAUAAAGUGCCAAUGUUGGUAUUAUACUUAGUGCACCACAGAUGCCAAUGAGGGCCGCUCGUUGACACGUUCCAGCGUAUAGUGAAUAUGGCUUUACCGAGCUCCCGCCAUCUGACAAAUACAUCAUAGAAUAGUAUUGGCAGAGAAUGUAAAAUAUUUUACAUUCUCUGGUAUUGGUUAAACUACAGCUUCGAAAACCCAAGGCAGCAAGUGGAAAUUCCCACCACUUCCCUAUAGCUCCUUUACAACAAUAUAAGGCAACCAAUACACUCCUCCCCCUCUCCUCAACAUUGGGCAUUGUAUUUACAUAAUUGGGACCUUAAUAAAUUGAAUAAUUUUAUUUAAAUCAAAUGAAACCUUGUUACAGAGAGUAAAAGAAAUUUUACAUUCUCUGCUUGUUAUAAGGCUAAAAAAAUUAACUUGGCAGCACUGAAUGUGUACUGGGAUCAGAGACCGUAUAUCAUAUAAUUUACGUUCUCUGCUGCGAUAAAUGUCAACUGGACCAAGAAUACUGGAAUAAUCUUUGACAGCAUAUAUUGUUUAUUGUGCUUUAUUUCAAUAAUAAAUAAAAAUUUAAAUCUUUUAACUCAGCUUUGUUUUGAAAUAAAGUGUAAACUGCUCUAAAAUGGAUAAAUAUAAACCCAUGUCGUGGUAUAUUGGCACCGAGUGGACUAUGCCGGCUAAAGUGUCCAAAGUUGUGAUAAAAGUGGAAGAAGUGCAAAAUUUGAAUGGACGGGAAAGUCAAUAUCUAUCCAAUGAGUUAAUUGAACAAGAACAAACAGUGGAAUUAGGUAGUGCUCUCACACCGGUUGAUUGCUAUACAGAACUGCUUGUGCGACAACUUGUGGUAGGUGAACGUGCACGUUGCUUCAUUGCCACAAAGAAAGAGGAAAUAAGUUUCCUAUUGACUCUGAUACGGAUAGAAGAAACAAAGGAAAUAUUUAAAUUAAAUGGUGCAGAAAUGUACGCACUCGCCAUGCGUUACAAGGAAAACGGCGUAGUUAUGUUCAAGCAGUAUCCCAUCUUUGCUCAUGCUUAUUUUUCGCGCGCCGCAAAAUUUUUGAUCUCAUAUAAACCAUUUGAAGGUUUGACGGUAAGCAAGGAUGGUAUAUCGGGUGAGGAAAUGCAAACGCUUUUUACACAAAUUCAGACUAAUUUAGCAGCUUGUUUGUUGAACGAACAGCGCUACGAAGAUGUACUGUAUCAAACAAAGUUUGUAGAAGAGCACCCAAAUGCUACAGAGAAAAGUAUUUACCGCAGAGCAAUGGCAUUUUAUCAUCUUAAAGAAUUUGAAAAAGCUCAAAAACUUAUUGAGGGUGUUCCAAAUUAUCAAGGAAAAAGAGAAUUUGCUAAACUUCAUCAACGUUUAGGGGAAAGUUGGAAAACCAGCAAUGAGCAGUAUAAAAAUGUAGUGAAACGUAUGUUUAGUUAGACUGACAAAAAAUGUAUUUUUUUAAGGACGGUGUAAUAAAAUUGUAAAAA